CGUAUCCUACGGGACGCAGCAGUGGGGAAUAUUGCACAAUGGGGGGAACCCUGAUGCAGCGACGCCGCGUGAGUGAAGAAGUAUUUCGGUAUGUAAAGCUCUAUCAGCAGGGAAGAAAAUGACGGUACCUGACUAAGAAGCCCCGGCUAACUACGUGCCAGCAGCCGCGGUAAUACGUAGGGGGCAAGCGUUAUCCGGAUUUACUGGGUGUAAAGGGAGCGUAGACGGCAGAGCAAGUCUGAAGUGAAAGCCCGCGGCCCAACUGCGGGACUGCUUUGGAAACUGUUAAGCUGGAGUACAGGAGG
rnacentral:rRNA from 1 species